GGCGGAAAGUCUCCCACUGGCGGGGAGAUGGGCAGUCAGGAGUCUUCAGCGGAGGCAAGCAGGUUGAAAACUAGCGUGAUGCAAUGCCAGGUCUUCUCGGCCACGUUGGGGAUAAACUGCUUGUAGGCUAAAGGGGUCAGCUUUUUGGGGUUCCGCCUCUUGCCAAAUCCCCUGCCGGGUCCGCACGCCAGCCCCGAGCACAUCAACAGCGAGGA